UUCAAGUACUGCUUCACAAUAUACAGUAUAGUCAGUCCAGUAUAGUAAGUCGUGCUCAACUGCCCAAGAUGUUAUAUCUUACAUUGCAGAUAUUUCACUUUAAGUAAGAACAAGAACCAUGGGAGCAAGUGAAUCUAAACCUGACAGAAGGAUUGCCCUUACUGGGGAAACAGGACGUGGAAAAAGCAGUGCUGGAAAUACGAUUCUCAGAAAAAAAGUUAUUCCCAGUUAAAUCUUCACCCAGUUCUGAAACAGCUACAUCUGAAUCACGUGAUGGGAUGGUUGGUGGAAGAAAGAUCACAGUUAUUGACACACCUGGAAUCUUUGAUACUGAUUGUGAUGAGGAGACUAUCAAAAGAGAGAUCAUUAGUUCCAUUGUUGAUUGUGCUCUAGGUGUUGACGCUCUAGUCAUUGUUCUUAAGGUCGAAAGAUACAAAAAAAAAAAACUGUGGGUGGAGACUGUGGAUAAAAUUGUUGAGUAUCUUGGAAAAAAAAUCUUUAAACAUGCAGUGAUUUUGUUCACGCAUGGUGAAGACCUAGAAGGUCAAACCAUUGAGGAAUUUGUGAAGAAGAAUCCAAAACUACAAGACCUUAUUAAUGAAUGUGGAGGUUACUGUCAUGUUAUUGACAGUAAAUACUGGAAAAACAGAAGGAACAAAGUUCAGUUGAGAAAUCUGCUGGAUGCCAUUGAAAAAAUGAUAGAAGAAAAUGGCCCCUACAAAAAUGAGGUGCUUCAGAUUGUUAAGGAAAAUAUUGAAGAUGAGAUUGCGAAUAUAAAAGAGAGAAAAAUAUUUCUCCAGAAGAGAAAUAAGAAAAGGCAAAGAAGAAUGUUAUUCAAAAACUUUUCAUUAAGCUUGCAGGAGUGGCUACUGGGACACUGAUUGGUGCUUUUCUGGGUGUCCGAGUUGUUGUGCCUUUACUGAAAACGGGCAUAUUACAAGAAGUGGUCAGUCCCAUAACUGCAUUUGCAAUAAAAGCUACAGGUACCCGCAUUGGAGCACCAGCUGUUAUAGGAAUCACUGCAGGUUGCACAUUUGGAACUGCAGCUCUUGCAGGAGCGAUUGGAGGAGGAAUCACUGGAUACAAAGCAGCAAAAGAAGCCGAUUCUGUGGUUGAUGCCAGAAAUAAAGCAGCCAAAGCUAACUAUGAAAAUGCAGAAAAGGUUGUUGGAAAAGUAGAACAACUGAAAUUUAAUGUUCAUUAGAAGUUACACUAUAUUUAUUUGUGAAAUUGUUCUGAAUUUUCUUUUCCCUUUUUGUUUUCCUCAUGUCAACAGAGCUUAAAAGCAUAAAUAGUUUUCUUAUCUAUACAUAAUUGCACCCUUUA